rnacentral:rRNA from 1 species
CACCGGCGGCCCGAGUGGUAACCGCUAUUAUUGGGUCUAAAGGGUCUGUAGCCGGCCAGGUAAGCCCCUUGGGAAAUCUGGCAGCUUAACUGUCAGGCUGCUAGGGGAUACUGUCUGGCUUGGGACCGGGAGAGGUGAGAGGUACCUUGGGGGUAGGGGUGAAAUCUUGUGAUCCUCGGGGGACCACCAGUGGCGAAGGCGUCUCACCAGAACGGGUCCGACGGUAAGGGACGAAAGCUAGGGGCACGAACCGGAUUAGAUACCCGGGUAGUCCUAGCCGUAAACGAUGCUCGCUAGGUGUCAGUCACGGUGCGACCGUGAUUGGUGCCAUAGGGAAGCCGUGAAGCGAGCCACCUGGGAAGUAUGGCCGCAAGGCUGAAACUUAAAGGAAUUGGCGGGGGAGCACCACAACGGGAGGAGCCUGCGGUUU